AUGAAAACUAUAUUGGUGGCAGUGAAUAUUCUUAAAGAAAGGUUUGGGAAUACCCAAGAUGUGAUUGAUUUGCACUACUGUGAGAUGAUAAAUUUACAAUGCCCUUCGAAUAAAACAUAUUCAUUGAGGUUAUUCAUAGAUAAAGUGAACCGUCAUUUAAGAAGUCUUGAAGUUUUGAAACAAAGUGUAGACCAAGAUAUAUUUGUGUCAAUGGUACGUUCAAAAUUACCACAGGAGGAAGUGAUGCUGCAACUUGAAAUUCAAAAAGGAACUACAGAAAAAUGGUGUGUGAAAUCUUUAUGUGCUAGAUUAAUGGAUUAUGUAGUGGCAAAGGAAAGGUCAGACAAAAGUGAUGUUCAAAAGGAUCGUCAAAAUAGUCAAAACAAUAACGGAGCAAAUUCUUUGUCAAAACGAAAUCAAUUUCAAGGAAAGUUUUCUAAAUUCCAAAAUGGAUCACGUCAGUUUCCAAACAGAAGUACAGCCGAAGCACUUGUAGUGAACGGAAAUGAUACUUCGCAGAGCUCAUCUUAUUUUGAUAAGUGUAGAUUUUGUCAAGGAAAGCAUUGGAGUGAUCAAUGUCCUAAAUACAAAACCAUUGAUGAAAGGAAAGCUCAGCUGAAAGGUAGUUGUUACAAGUGUUUUCGAAAUACACAUAAAUCAGCUGAAUGUAAGAAAGGAAAAUUGUGUGUACAUUGUGGUGUUUUAAACAGUCAUCACCGGAGCUUAUGCCCUAAAAAGUUCGGUACAGGAUUAACAAGUGUCCAUUUGAGUGAAGAAUAUGAUCAUUCUUCUAGUGGAUUAAGUAGUGGCGUGGAACAAUCAUUAACAAGUUUAAGUGAACAGAGAGAAACAGCAUCGGAGAAUGUUCUAAUAUCAUCUAGUGAAAUUGUUCUUAUGCAGACCGCUAAAGUUGAAGUGAGCAAUCCAAAUGAUUCUUUAAAACAAACAACCAGAUUAUUGUUUGACUCUGGAUCCCAGAGAACCUACAUUUCUCAAAAGUUAGCCUCAAAGUUGAAAUUAAAAUCUGAAGGAGACGAGGAAAUUACAAUAGUUACGUUUGGAAGUGAGAAGGCCAGAACCGUGAAAACCGCAUCAACUAGUUUAUGUAUUCGAUUAAAUAAUGGAAAAGUGUUGAAAAUUUCGGCUAACAUUGUGCCAGUUAUCAGUGGAACUGUUCAACGGAGAAGAUUAGAUACAUCUUCGAUUGAAAAUGUGAGACAUUUUGUAAAGGACGUUGAAUUAGCAGAUGUCAUUCCAACCCAAUACGAAACGUCUACUGUAGAUUUGUUGAUUGGAAAUGAUCACUAUUUUGAUUUCAUUCUUGGACAAAGGAUUGAAAUUCAACCUGGCUUGUAUAUACUUGCUUCUAAGUUGGGAUGGAUAAUCACAGGAAGAACUAAAGAAAAUGAUUAUUCACGAGAGGAUAUUGAGAGUAGUUUUCUGAUAAUGUCAUACACAGGAUCAAAUGUACCGAAGACUGAUACAUGUAUUACGUCUGUCCCUAACGUUACAGAUCUGUGGAAUUUGGAGUCAGUAGGAAUAAGUGACGAUGACAACUCGACAGAAGACUCUAGAGUCUUAGAAAUGUUCAAGGAAACGUUAGAAUAUUCAAAUGGGAGGUACUACGUGACAUGGCCAUGGAAGAAUGACAAUGUUGACUUACCAGUGAAUAGAGAUUUAGCUUUGUCUAGACUAAAAUCAUGUAUAGCAAGGAUGAGAAAGAAACCAGAAUUACUUGAAAAAUAUAAUUCUGUUAUUCAAGAUCAAUUAGAUAAAGGUAUAGUUGAAAAAGUGGAAGAACAUAGUACAGAGGGAUUGAAACAUUAUAUUCCACAUCAUGCUGUUUUAACGCCAAAUAAAACGACGACGAAGUUGAGAAUAGUCUAUGAUGCGUCAGCAAAACCGAAUAAUGAAGUCAAUAGUCUAAACGAGUGCUUAUAUCGCGGACCAGUCCUUUUAAGGAAUCUUUGUGGAAUAUUCAUGAGAUUUCGUUUGAAUCAAGUUGCAAUUGUUGCUGACAUAGAAAAGGCAUUUCUCCAGGUCGGAUUACAGAAAGGUGACCGUGAUGUUACACGAUUUCUUUGGCUAAAGAAUUACAAAGAUGGGUAUGCUUCCGAUACUAAUCUUCAGGAGUAUAGAUUUUGCAGAGUUCCCUUCGGAAUAAUCUCAAGUCCAUUUCUAUUAGCAGCUACAGUCGAAAGUCAUUUAGAUAAAUACCAGUCGCCUAUAGCCAGGAAAAUAAAAGAUAACAUUUAUGUUGAUAAUUUGAUCUCUGGUUGUACAUCGGUAGCUGAGUCAUUGGAGUUUUAUUCAGAAGCUAAACAUAUAUUUCAAAAUGCUUCAAUGAAUUUAAGAGAAUGGGUUUCCAGUAGUAAAAUUUUCAAUGAAUUAUUGCCGACCAAAGACAGGACGGAUGUGUUUGAAACAUGUGUACUUGGUCAUCUCUGGAAUACUGACAUUGAUGUUAUAUAUGUGAAAUCGGCAAAAAAUACAAUGUGUUCUGGAAUUUCAACAAAGAGAAAAACCUUGAGUGAAUUAGCAGAAGUGUUUGAUCCAAUGGGUUUCUUCUCGCCUGUCAUAGUCAGUGGGAAAAUCUUUCUUCAAGAUUUAUGGAAAAGGAACUUAAAAUGGGAUGAUGAGAUAUGCGGAGAUGAUAAGUUGAAAUGGAUUAGUAUAAGUUCCGAACUAAAGAAAAUCUCAGAUGUCUCCAUUCCAAGAUUCAUAGGAUUAGAGGCUAACCAAAAUAAUGUGAAAUAUAAGUUAUUAUGUUUCUGUGAUGCAUCGAAAAGAGCCUAUUCAACUGCGAUUUACCUUCAUCAGUCAAGCGGGGACGCAACAAAAUGCGAUUUAAUUUUCUCAAAAUCAAGGCUAGCCCCUAUUCAGGGUAUGACCAUCCCGAAGUUAGAAUUGAUGGCAGUUCUCAUUGGUGUUAGAAGUCUGAAGUUCGUUAAAACAGAACUGAAACUAGUGAUUGACAAAACGUUUCUAUGGACAGAUUCACAGUGUGUGUUGAAAUGGCUAUCAACAAAGAAAAGUCUUAGAGUUUUUGUUGAAAAUAGAGUUCAAGAAAUUAAAAGCCAUAAAGAUAUAAGUUUCAUGUAUGUCUCUACAAAAGAAAACCCAGCAGACGUCGCAACGCGUGGAACGUUAGUACAAAAACUCAGAAGUGAUCACCUUUGGUGGCACGGUCCUAGUUGGCUGAAACAAGACGAGAAUACUUGGGAAAAAAUUUAUGAUGAUGAUGAUGCUAAUCAGAAAGUUAAUGACCAAUUCAAAAGUGAACUUAAAACGAGUGAAAACCAAACGGAAAGUGCAUUUGUUAGUGAAAAUGGACAAGAAAUCACGAGUAAUAAAAUGCCAUACAACAUAGAUAUCAAAAGAUUCUCAUCAUACCACAAACUUAUUAGAGUUACUGCCUGGAUUGAAAGAUUCAUUUCAAAGAUCAGAAGGAUUCCCUCGAAUAAUGAGAAAUAUCUAUCUGUUAAAGAAAUCAAGAAAGCUGAGGAAAUGUGGAUUCAAAGUGUUCAAAGAAAAAGUUUUGCUGAUGUGUUUAACUCAAUUCAUACAGGUCAGAAGAACAAUUUAAAAGUUCAAUUAGAUAAUGAAAACCUGUUGCGUUGCAGGGGAAGAUUUGAAAAUGCAGAUAUUAGUGAAUGUGCUAAAUUUCCUAUUCUUCUUCCUCGUGGGGAGACCUUCACUCGACUUCUUGUUGAAAAAACUCACAAAGAACUAUUUCAUAGUGGUGUAUCUCAUACAUUGUGUAGGGUCAGGAACAAGUUUUGGAUUCCACAAGGAAGAGCUACUGUUAGGCAAAUAUUACGGCAUUGUAAAACAUGCAAGAGAUUUGAAGGUGGUCCUUUCAAAAUGCCAAAUAUGGCUCCUUUUCCAAGAUCAAGAGUCUCAAGAAGCUUGCCUUUUCAAGGAACUGGUCUUGAUUACCUUGGUCCAGUGUAUGUGAAGGAUGGCACUGUGAUGAAGAAAAGAUGGAUUUGUUUAUUUACAUGUUUUGUGACACGAGCCAUUCAUUUGGAAAUUGUGAAUGACAUGACAACUGAGGAGUUCAUUUGUGCUUUUCGUAGAUUUGUAUCGACAAGAGGAACACCAAGUGAGGUUAUUAGUGAUAACGCUUCUCAGUUUAAGUUAGGUAGUGAAACCAUUAAAUCAGUCUGGGAAAAUACAAUUAUCAAAAAUGAAAUAGUACAAAAUUACAUGUCCAGCUGUGGAAUUCAAUGGAAAUUUAUAACAGAACUUGCAUCUUGGAUGGGUGGAUUCUAUGAACGCUUAGUUGGGCUGGUAAAGCGUUGUCUAAGGAAAACAUUGCGAAAGCGUUCCGUUUCGGAUAUUCAAUUAUUGACCCUGAUGAAAGAAAUAGAAGCUGUGAUAAAUUCGAGACCAUUAGUAUAUGUCGAUGAAGAACUGCAAUCGAGAACAACGUUAACCCCAAAUCAUUUCCUUGCGAUUAAUUCGCAAAACGGAAUUCCUGAUGUUGAUUAUGAUCUGAAAGAUCCUUCUUACAAAACGUGUGAAACAUCAUCUGAAAAACUGAAGAAGCUAUGGAAAAAAGGACAAAAUAUAUUAAAUUGUUUUUGGAAAACUUGGAGAGAAGAAUAUUUACUAAGUUUAAGAGAAAGAAAACAAAUUGACUUAAAGUGUGGAAAAAUAAAGUCUACAGUAUCUCCAGGUAUUGGGAGUGUAGUUAUAAUAAAAGAAGAUUUACCAAGAGGAAUGUGGAAACUGGGGAGGAUUGUAAAGCAUAUUCAAAGUAAUGAUGGUCAGUUGAGGUCGGUUAAGGUGAGAUUAGCCAAUGGAAAUAUAAUUGGUCGUCCACUUAAUUUGUUGUAUCCAUUGGAAAUAGAUUAA
rnacentral:sRNA from 1 species